rnacentral:rRNA from 1 species
GACGUAGGGCGCGAGCGUUGUCCGGAUUUAUUGGGCGUAAAGAGCUCGUAGGCGGCUCGUUGCGUCGGCUGUGAAAACCCGCAGCUCAACUGUGGGCUUGCAGCUGAUACGGGCGGGCUGGAGUUCGGUAGGGGAGACUGGAAUUCCUGGUGUAGCGGUGAAAUGCGCAGAUAUCAGGAGGAACACCGGUGGCGAAGGCGGUUCUCUGGGCAUUGACCUGACGCUGAGGAGCGAAAGUGUGGGGAGCGAACAGG